rnacentral:rRNA from 1 species
GACGAACGCUGGCGGCGUGCUUAACACAUGCAAGUCGAACGGACCCUUUGGGGUUAGUGGCGAACGGGUGAGUAACACGUGGGUGAUCUGCCCUGCACUUUGGGAUAAGCCUGGGAAACUGGGUCUAAUACCGGAUAGGACUACGCACUGCAUGGUGUGUGGUGGAAAGCUUUUGCGGUGUGGGAUGGGCCCGCGGCCUAUCAGCUUGUUGGUGGGGUGAUGGCCUACCAAGGCGACGACGGGUAGCCGGCCUGAGAGGGUGACCGGCCACACUGGGACUGAGAUACGGCCCAGACUCCUACGGGAGGCAGCAGUGGGGAAUAUUGCACAAUGGGCGCAAGCCUGAUGCAGCGACGCCGCGUGAGGGAUGACGGCCUUCGGGUUGUAAACCUCUUUCGCCAGGGACGAAGCGCAAGUGACGGUACCAGGAGAAGAAGGACCGGCCAACUACGUGCCAGCAGCCGCGGUAAUACGUAGGGUCCGAGCGUUGUCCGGAAUUACUGGGCGUAAAGAGCUCGUAGGUGGUUUGUCGCGUUGUUCGUGAAAACUCACAGCUUAACUGUGGGCGUGCGGGCGAUACGGGCAGACUGGAGUACUGCAGGGGAGACUGGAAUUCCUGGUGUAGCGGUGGAAUGCGCAGAUAUCAGGAGGAACACCGGUGGCGAAGGCGGGUCUCUGGGCAGUAACUGACGCUGAGGAGCGAAAGCGUGGGGAGCGAACAGGAUUAGAUACCCUGGUAGUCCACGCCGUAAACGGUGGGUACUAGGUGUGGGUUUCCUUCCUUGGGAUCCGUGCCGUAGCUAACGCAUUAAGUACCCCGCCUGGGGAGUACGGCCGCAAGGCUAAAACUCAAAGGAAUUGACGGGGGCCCGCACAAGCGGCGGAGCAUGUGGAUUAAUUCGAUGCAACGCGAAGAACCUUACCUGGGUUUGACAUGCACAGGACGCCGGCAGAGAUGUCGGUUCCCUUGUGGCCUGUGUGCAGGUGGUGCAUGGCUGUCGUCAGCUCGUGUCGUGAGAUGUUGGGUUAAGUCCCGCAACGAGCGCAACCCUUGUCUCAUGUUGCCAGCACGUUACGGUGGGGACUCGUGAGAGACUGCCGGGGUCAACUCGGAGGAAGGUGGGGAUGACGUCAAGUCAUCAUACCCCUUAUGUCCAGGGCUUCACACAUGCUACAAUGGCCGGUACAAAGGGCUGCGAUGCCGUGAGGUGGAGCGAAUCCUUUCAAAGCCGGUCUCAGUUCGGAUCGGGGUCUGCAACUCGACCCCGUGAAGUCGGAGUCGCUAGUAAUCGCAGAUCAGCAACGCUGCGGUGAAUACGUUCCCGGGCCU